GAGGCCAGGGACCAUGUCUUGCUCAUCUCUGGAUCCCCCCAGGUUUGCCACACAGCCUGGAUGCCGGGGAGAAGGUGGUGAAUGGAGACGUAGCCCCUGACCUCUUGGAAUGCACUGCCUAGGGGACGGGAUGAACACGCACGCAAGCAAUGCCUUCAGGGAGAGCCCUUCCAUCCAUCUGCAGUUCCCCGUGGGCUUGCCCUCAACCAAAGGCCUCCCUGUCAGUCAUUGACACCUAGUCUGAA